UGUUAAAAAAAUUUUAUUCAUUUGUAUUGUUAAAAACUAAUAUGAUUGGUAGAAUAAUCAAACUGUCACAUGACGUACCACGUAUAUCUCCUAUUGAUGUAUAAAAACUAGUUUUUCAAUUGUAGAAAUUGAUAAAAUUUUUAACC
rfam:Gossypium arboreum cultivar AKA8401 contig_14_25, whole genome shotgun sequence.